AUGUAUGUGUGUGUUAGCAGGCAGCGCCGUCAACAAAGAUGACGUCUCCGGCUGGGUUAUGAACAAGAUGGCCGACAUCAUUCUGUCUGGAGGAGCAGAACGUGGGGUGGCAGAGAAGAAUGUGGAGAGGAGAGCCAGUGUAAAGUGUUGACACCCUUUCCUUUUCUAUUCCAAAAGGCAUGGUAAAAUGGAAAGGUGACAAGAUUCCAGACAUCAUCAGAACUGUGAAGCUCACCAGUGCUGUGACACUUGAUCCCCAUGCAUGAGCAUAUAGUGUGGGGCAAGCUUCCUGGCAAUACUCCCGUCUCAGAAGGAAGUGCCAUACUAGUGGAGCCGUCGAAAUCUCAGUCACACAGGAAAACCAUCAUGGUCGGGAGAACCAUGGCCUUGUGGCCAAUCAAUCCCUAUUUUAGUUCAAACACCCACCCUCGUACUGCAUGCGUUCGCCAACUGCAUCUCUCCAGCCGGCAGUCUCGAAGGAGACACCUCGCCACUUUCAUGACAAGGCGAAUCCAGGCCGAACCACUGC